GCAGAGGCCAGCUGGGGCCCCUUGCAGGAGCCCCCGCAGGGCCCGCCUGACCCAGCCCGAAGCAGCUGCCCCUCCAGGCCCCACCACAUCUGCAUCCUGGGAAAAUUCCCCCUGCACCUGCCUGUGGGCCCUCCCAGCACCCAACCAGCCUCACCUGAGCCCACACUCUCCUCUCAGAGUGGCUCCUUUUACCCCUCCCCAGGGGGAGGGCCCUCCCACUGAAAUAACUCAUUUGUCUGAAAAACAAGAGACACUAGUAAAUUCUCUAGCCCAGGGUCCAGUUCCGAGUUCCAUCCUCACUUCCAGGCAGCCUGAAGCCAGCCCUUCCUGCUCCUUCCCCCGCCUCGAACAGCUUCUCUUUUCACCAGGACGACGGGAGGACCCCUGAGGGACCCCUGCCUCCAUCCCUCGGGGCCGCUGCAACGGAGCCCCUGGCAAUAUCGGUCUAGGUGUGAGUGUCCCAGUGCAGAGCCCCCUGGGGCCUCCCUCCGGCCAGCCCUCCGCUCCUGGCCGUCAACCCCCAUGCAGCAGAGCCCCUCUUCGAAUCUGUCUCUCCCCUGAUCAGGGAGCUUCUUGUUAAAGAAGAUAAGUGAAGUUACGUUACACACGCGUGGGUCUGCCCCUGGGCUGCUGGUACCUGCGUGGCGUGGUGCUGUGAUGACCACAGCUUCGGGGGAUGUCCUUGAGCAGUGGACAUCAGCUCACUGAGGCGCUCAGCUGACUUCUCUGGCUUUUACGCAUGCCUUCCGCACAGAGUCCAAACACAGCCUAAAACCUGGAAGCCAGUCACACUGUAGCUUAAGGUCUUGUUCCAAGUGCCUGUGAAACCUGCACCCCAGGAAGCCCCAGACUGUGUCUGGAAUGAAAGGAAGCAGGUCUGGGGCUGAGGAACUGGGGGCCCUGGGUCCCCAGGAGGGAUGGCUCAGCAAAGCAGCAACUGUACACUAUGGCUGUGUGUCGGGCACGGCAGGUCCCGAAAACCUAUGUCUGUCUUUGAUUCAAACCACCGCUCCCAGUGUCCCCAAGUUAAAAGCCUAUUCUGCCUUCUGACCAGUGCUCAUGGAAGCACAUGCAGUGUGAACAGGAAGGAAAACCCAUCCCUGAACUGAGAGGAUCUAUCUACCUGGAACUUGGAGGACAAUUAUGUGCUCAUCACUAAAUUGAAGUCAAACUGCAGACUCUAACAUUCCUGGAUGAAAGAGCCAAAGGUGGACUUGAAAUGCCCAUUGAAGGACGAGUGGAGGGACUCCCCUGGUGGUCCAGUGGUUAAGAAACCUCCUACUAUGCAGGGGACAAGGGGUUGACCCCUGGUUCGGGAAGAUCCCACAC
ensembl:lncRNA